rnacentral:rRNA from 1 species
AUGCAGAGUUCCAGGCAAAAUGGGUAUGGAAAAGGGGGGAAAAGGGGAACAGGAACAAAGGGCAGAUCUGUUGGAAGGAUUUACUAUGCCCAUCUAGCAAGUGGCCAGAAAUACUACAUGAGAUUGCUACUUAACGUUGUCAAAGGAUGCACAUCUUUUGAAGACAUAAGAAAGGUAAAUGGAGUUGUCUAUAAAUCAUACAAGGCGGCGUGUGAAGCAUUAGGAUUUCUUGAUGACGACAAAGACUGCACUAAGUGUAUCAAAAAGGCAUCAAAUCAGGCAACUAGAAACCAGCUACGACAACUUUUCACAACCACCUUAUGUGACUGCAAGGUUACAGAUCCAACAAAGAUGUGGGAAUCAUGUUGGGAUGUUUUAAGUGAAGACAUGGAAUGCAAACAGAUAAAAAUCUUGAACUAUCCUACACUACGUCUAACAGAUAGAGAGAAGAAAGACGACAGCUUGCUAGAAAUUGAAAAGCUUAUGAGACAGGAUGGAUAG